UACGUAGGGGGGCAAGCGUUGUCCGGAUUUAUUGGGCGUAAAGAGCUCGUAGGUGGUUCGGUAAGUCGGAUGUGAAAUCUCCAGGCUCAACCUGGAGGGGUCAUUCGAUACUGCCGUGACUAGAGUUCGGUAGGGGAGUGUGGAAUUCCUGGUGGAGCGGUGAAAUGCGCAGAGUAUCAGGAGGAACACCCGUAGCGAAGGCGGCACUCUGGGCCGAUACUGACACUGAGGAGCGAAAGCGUGGGGAGCGAACAGG
rnacentral:rRNA from 1 species